CAGUCGCCACGGGAAUACGAAGGGUGCAAGCGUUAAUCGGAAUUACUGGGCGUAAAGCGCACGCAGGCGGUUUGUUAAGUCAGAUGUGAAAUCCCCGAGCUUAACUUGGGAACUGCAUUUGAAACUGGCAAGCUAGAGUCUUGUAGAGGGGGGUAGAAUUCCAGGUGUAGCGGUAAAAUGCGUAGAGAUCUGGAGGAAUACCGGUGGCGAAGGCGGCCCCCUGGACAAAGACUGACGCUCAGGUGCGAAAGCGUGGGGAGCAAACAGGAUUAGAUACCCGCGUAGUCCCUGUCUCUUAUAC
rnacentral:rRNA from 1 species